rnacentral:lncRNA from 1 species
UCCUAAAGCCUUGAAUCUUUUCUCCGAUUCAUGUGUAUGGGAAGCUGUAUAAAUACUAGCCCUUGUGCUGACCUUGUGCUGAGCAAGCCAUAGCCAUGGAACCGUGCAGGCGACGUAAAAUUUUUAAAGCUUAUGAAUACAUAUUUAGACAUGGAUGCUAUUUUCCUGGAUUAUUCUAAAGAGAAAACCUUCUAGGAAAAAUGGGCUGGCUCUGUUCACAAGGGGAGGAAGCAGAGAAUUUUCAGUCGAAGCAGUGAGGAACCUUAAGAACCCAAAGGGGAAACAGAGCUGACAGAGGGGGAAAAGAGAGAAGGAAGAAGAAAAAGGAAAAGAUGAUGAAAGAAAAACUUCAUGAUAACAUGGAUCGUUAUAAAAACACCAGACCCUUUUACUCAAGCAGCUGGUUCUCUAAUGAUUAGUUUCAUUAAUUCCUUCUAAAUGUGUAAUUAUUUUAAGAAAUGAAAGAUUUAAGAUAAACUUGGGAUGAAAUGACUGCAUCUACUAAUCAUCUCAUUUUAAAUUUUAACAUAUAUUUACCUUCCACAGUGGUUGUCCUAAUUUAAAACCCUAUCUGCCA